rnacentral:snoRNA from 1 species
GACGUGCAAAAAUAAAUCCUCUUUUGAAGCCUAGAAUUCAUUGUUCAAUAUGAGUUUUGAUACAUACAAGAAGGAAAAUG